rnacentral:rRNA from 1 species
GACGAACGCUGGCGGCGUGCUUAACACAUGCAAGUCGAACGGAGUUUAAUGGAGAGCUUGCUCGAAAUUAAACUUAGUGGCGGACGGGUGAGUAACGCGUGGGCAAUCUGCCUGUAAGAGGGGGACAACACCGAGAAAUUGGUGCUAAUACCGCAUAACAUCAAUUAACUGCAUGGUUGAUUGAUCAAAGGAGUAAUCCGCUUACAGAUGAGCCCGCGUCUGAUUAGCUAGUUGGUGGGGUAACGGCCUACCAAGGCGACGAUCAGUAGCCGGCCUGAGAGGGUGACCGGCCACACUGGAACUGAGACACGGUCCAGACUCCUACGGGAGGCAGCAGUGGGGAAUCUUCCGCAAUGGGCGAAAGCCUGACGGAGCAACGCCGCGUGAGUGAUGAAGGCCUUCGGGUUGUAAAACUCUGUCUUCAGGGAAGAAACAAAUGACGGUACCUGAGGAGGAAGCCACGGCUAACUACGUGCCAGCAGCCGCGGUAAUACGUAGGUGGCAAGCGUUGUCCGGAAUUACUGGGCGUAAAGCGCGCGCAGGCGGGAAUUUAAGUCAGGAGUGAAAACUGAGGGCUCAACCCUCAGCCUGCUUCUGAAACUGGAUUUCUUGAGGGUAUGAGAGGAAAGCGGAAUUCCUAGUGUAGCGGUGAAAUGCGUAGAUAUUAGGAGGAACACCAGUGGCGAAGGCGGCUUUCUGGCAUACAACUGACGCUGAGGCGCGAAAGCGUGGGGAGCAAACGGGAUUAGAUACCCCGGUAGUCCACGCCGUAAACGAUGAGCACUAGGUGUAGGAGGUAUCGACCCCUUC